rnacentral:rRNA from 1 species
AGAGUUUGAUUCUGGCUCAGGAUGAACGCUGGCGGCGUGCCUAAUACAUGCAAGUCGAGCGAACCACUUCGGUGGGAAGCGGCGAACGGGUGAGUAACACGUAGGUGAUCUGCCCAUCAGACGGGGACAACGAUUGGAAACGAUCGCUAAUACCGGAUAGGACGAAAGUUUAAAGAUGCUCCUGGCAUCACUGAUGGAUGAGCCUGCGGCGCAUUAGCUAGUUGGUGGGGUAAAGGCCUACCAAGGCGACGAUGCGUAGCCGACCUGAGAGGGUGAACGGCCACACUGGGACUGAGACACGGCCCAGACUCCUACGGGAGGCAGCAGUAGGGAAUCUUCGGCAAUGGGCGAAAGCCUGACCGAGCAACGCCGCGUGAAUGAAGAAGGCCUUCGGGUUGUAAAAUUCUGUUAUAAGGGAAGAAAGGUGAUAGGAGGAAAUGACUAUCAAUUGACGGUACCUUAUGAGAAAGCCACGGCUAACUACGUGCCAGCAGCCGCGGUAAUACGUAGGUGGCAAGCGUUAUCCGGAAUUAUUGGGCGUAAAGAGCGCGCAGGUGGUUAAUUAAGUCUGAUGUGAAAGCCCACGGCUUAACCGUGGAGGGUC